AAGCAUAUCAAUAAGCGGAGGAAAAGAAACCAACAGGGAUUGCCCUAGUAACGGCGAGUGAAGCGGCAACAGCUCAAAUUUGAAAUCUGGCCUCGGCCCGAGUUGUAAUUUGCAGAGGAUGCUUCUGGCGCGGUGCCUUCCGAGUUCCCUGGAACGGGACGCCACAGAGGGUGAGAGCCCCGUAUGGUCGGACACCAAGCCUGUGUGAAGCUCCUUCGACGAGUCGAGUAGUUUGGGAAUGCUGCUCUAAAUGGGAGGUAAAUCUCUUCUAAAGCUAAAUACCGGCCAGAGACCGAUAGCGCACAAGUAGAGUGAUCGAAAGAUGAAAAGCACCUUGAAAAGGGGGUUAAAUAGUACGUGAAAUUGUUGAAAGGGAAGCACUUGUGACCAGACUUGGGCCGGGCGGCUCAUCAGGGGUUCUCCCCUGUGCAUUCCGCCCGGCACAGGCCAGCAUCGGUUUUCGCGGGGGGAUAAGACCGGCGGGAACGUAGCACCCUCCGGGGUGUGUUAUAGCCCACCGGACGAUACCCCCGCGGGGACCGAGGUCCGCGCUCCGGCAAGGAUGCUGGCGUAAUGGUCACCAGUGACCC
rnacentral:rRNA from 1 species